rnacentral:rRNA from 1 species
GACGAACGCUGGCGGCGUGCUUAACACAUGCAAGUCGAGGGGGCUCAGCAAUGGGUCACCGGCGAACGGGUGCGUAACACGUGAGCGACCUGCCCAACUGCGGGGGAUAGCCGGCCCAACGGCCGGGUAAUACCGCAUACGACCUUGAGGGCGAUCUCUUGGAGGUGAAACCGAUUCAGGGCGGGUGGUAGGGGCGUCGCCGGCCGUAUCAGCUAGUUGGUGCGGUCAUGGCGCACCAAGGCGACGACGGGUAGCUGGUCUGAGAGGAUGGCCAGCCACAUUGGGGACU